rnacentral:piRNA from 2 species
UCUCAAAGAGGUGUAUUUUCUGCUUUAAC